GUGGAUGUAGCUUAGUUGGCUAAAGCGCCAGAUUGUGGCUCUGGAGACCGUGGGUUCAAGUCCCAUCAUUCACCCCA
rnacentral:tRNA from 1 species